rnacentral:rRNA from 1 species
UACGUAGGGUGCGAGCGUUGUUCGGAAUCACUGGGCGUAAAGCGCGUGUAGGCGGCCUUGUAAGUUUGGUGUGAAAGCCCGGGGCUUACCCCCGGAAGUGCACUGGAGACUGCAAGGCUAGAGUACCGGAGAGGAAAGUGGAAUUCCUGGUGUAGCGGUGAAAUGCGUAGAUAUCUGGAGGAACACCGGUGGCGAAGGCGGCAUCCUGGACCGGUAUUGACGCUGAGAAACGAAAGCCAGGGUAGCAAACGGG